UACGUAGGGGGCAAGCGUUGUCCGGAAUUACUGGGCGUAAAGCGCGCGUAGGCGGCUUUGUAAGUUAGAGGUGAAAGCCCGGGGCUCAACUCCGGAACUGCCUUUAAGACUGCAUCGCUUGAAUCCGGGAGAGGUGAGUGGAAUUCCGAGUGUAGAGGUGAAAUUCGUAGAUAUUCGGAAGAACACCAGUGGCGAAGGCGGCUCACUGGACCGGUAUUGACGCUGAGGUGCGAAAGCGUGGGGAGCAAACAGG
rnacentral:rRNA from 1 species